rnacentral:rRNA from 1 species
GAUGAACGCUGGCGGCGUGCCUAAUACAUGCAAGUCGAGCGAACAGACGAGGAGCUUGCUCCUCUGACGUUAGCGGCGGACGGGUGAGAAACACGUGGAUAACCUACCUAUAAGACUGGGAUAACUUCGGGAAACCGGAGAUAAUACCGGAUAAUAUAUUGAACCGCAUGGUUCAAUAGUGAAAGACGGUUUUGCUGUCACGUAUAGAUGGAUCCCCGCGGCAUUAGCUGGUUGGUAAGGUAACGGCUUACCAAGGGGAGGAUGCGUGGCCGACCUGUGAGGCUGGUCGCCCACACUGGAGCUGAGACGCGGUCCAGGCUCCUACGGGAGGCAGCAGUAGGGUAUCUUCCGCAAUGGGCGAAAGCCUUACGGAGCAGCGCCGCGCGAGUGAUGAAGGUCUCCGGAUCGUAAAGCUCUGUUAUUGGGGAAGAACAAAUGUGUAAGUAACUAUGCACUUCUUGACGGUACCGAAUCAGAAAGCCCCGGCUAACUACGUG